GACGAACGCUGGCGGCGUGCCUAAUACAUGCAAGUAGAACGCUGAAGGAGGAGCUUGCUCUUCUGGAUGAGUUGCGAACGGGUGAGUAACGCGUAGGUAACCUGCCUGGUAGUGGGGGAUAACUAUUGGAAGCGAUAGCUAAUACCGCAUAAUAACAGUUGUUGCAUGACAACUGUUUGAAAGGUGCAAUUGCAUCACUACCAGAUGGACCUGCGUUGUAUUAGCUAGUUGGUGGGGUAACGGCUCACCAAGGCGACGAUACAUAGCCGACCUGAGAGGGUGAUCGGCCACACUGGGACUGAGACACGGCCCAGACUCCUACGGGGGGCAGCAGUAGGGAAUCUUCGGCAAUGGACGAAAGUCUGACCGAGCAACGCCGCGUGAGUGAAGAAGGUUUUCGGAUCGUAAAGCUCUGUUGUAAGAGAAGAACGAGUGUGAGAGUGGAAAGUUCACAC
rnacentral:rRNA from 1 species